UUUCCGUAGGUGAACCAGCGGAAGGAUCAUUAUCGUGUAUCCAAGUCGCAAGCGCUGUCGCUCAUCCGAAUGGUCGUCCAGGCCCGACUGCCCUCACCCAGAACCAUCUGACCCCUAUCUGCAGCACCCCUAGAGUCUCUCUCUAACUUGUACGUUCGGAGGCUUACGUUAUCACACAAACUACUUUUACAGUGGAGUAUGUAUUUUUUGUUUUUGCUAUAACGCAAACAAUACCACUUUAAACAACGGAUCUCUUCGCUCUCCAAUCGGAGAAGAACG
rnacentral:misc_RNA from 1 species